ACUGUUCAUUUAAGCAAGAUAUGUGCAAGACACUGCAUUCUUAGUACUGGCAGAUAAGUUCUGAACGUCGAAAAGAAAAGUCUCGAGAUGCAGCCAGAUCUCGGCGAAGUAAAGAAUCUGAAGUUUUUUAUGAGCUUGCUCAUCAGUUGCCACUUCCACAUAAUGUGAGUUCGCAUCUUGAUAAGGCCUCUGUGAUGAGGCUUACCAUCAGCUAUUUGCGUGUGAGGAAACUUCUGGAUGCUGGUGAUUUGGAUAUUGAAGAUGACAUGAAAGCACAGAUGAAUUGCUUUUAUUUGAAAGCCUUGGAUGGUUUUGUUAUGGUUCUCACAGAUGAUGGUGACAUGAUUUACAUUUCUGAUAAUGUGAACAAAUACAUGGGAUUAACUCAGUUUGAACUAACUGGACACAGUGUGUUUGAUUUUACUCAUCCAUGUGACCAUGAGGAAAUGAGAGAAAUGCUUACACACAGAAAUGGCCUUGUGAAAAAGGGUAAAGAACAAAACACACAGCGAAGCUUUUUUCUCAGAAUGAAGUGUACCCUAACUAGCCGAGGAAGAACUAUGAACAUAAAGUCUGCAACAUGGAAGGUAUUGCACUGCACAGGCCACAUUCACGUAUAUGAUACCAACAGUAACCAACCUCAGUGUGGGUAUAAGAAACCACCUAUGACCUGCUUGGUGCUGAUUUGUGAACCCAUUCCUCACCCAUCAAAUAUUGAAAUUCCUUUAGAUAGCAAGACUUUCCUCAGUCGACACAGCCUGGAUAUG
rnacentral:sRNA from 1 species